GAUGAACGCUGGCGGCGUGCCUAAUACAUGCAAGUCGAGCGAACAGACGAGGAGCUUGCUCCUCUGACGUUAGCGGCGGACGGGUGAGUAACACGUGGAUAACCUACCUAUAAGACUGGGAUAACUUCGGGAAACCGGAGCUAAUACCGGAUAAUAUAUUGAACCGCAUGGUUCAAUAGUGAAAGACGGUUUUGCUGUCACUUAUAGAUGGAUCCGCGCCGCUUUAGCUAGGUGGUAAGGUAACGGCUUACCAAGGCAACGAUGCGUAGCCGACCUGAGAGGGUGAUCGGCCACACUGGAACUGAGACACGGUCCAGACUCCUACGGGAGGCAGCAGUAGGGAAUCUUCCGCAAUGGGCGAAAGCCUGACGGAGCAACGCCGCGUGAGUGAUGAAGGUCUUCGGAUCGUAAAACUCUGUUAUUAGGGAAGAACAAAUGUGUAAGUAACUAUGCACGUCUUGACGGUACCUAAUCAGAAAGCCACGGCUAACUACGUG
rnacentral:rRNA from 1 species